rfam:Kangiella koreensis DSM 16069, complete genome.
AAGUGAGGACGACCUCACCUCUCAAUUUCGUUAGGGGACGGCCCC